GCGGGAUUUGGGAUCGGGGCCGCGGGCCCUUUAAGGCCGCUGUAGGGACGGCCCCGCGUUGGAGUCGGAAACGUCCACGUCGGAUCGGCUGUGGGCGCUGCUCACCCCACCCCCCCCUCGCCCCACAACCCCCCCCCACACCCCAUAGUUGGGGCUGCGGGGUGGCGGCUGUAGGCUCUGAGCUAUAGGAUUGGGGCUGCGGGGUCGGGGCCGUGGGAUCAGGGCUAUAGGAUCGGGUCUACGGGGAUCAGGGCUAUGGGAUCAGGGCUGUAGGAUCGGGUCUAUGGGGCGCAGGACCCCACGGUGGGCCAACCCCAGGGCUCCACAUGUGGGGCCCAGCAGCCCCCCAACCCACAGAGCCGAGGGGUCCCAUGGAGGGCAGCCGUGCCCCAUAGGCGGCCCUACAGCCGUCCAUAGGGCUGCACCCCGCGGCUGCCGGCAGUUAUGUGAGGAAUGCGCCCCCCCCGCAGCCGGCACAGCUGAGCAGCCCCGCACCCCAUACAGCUCUGCGGCCCCACAACUGCAGCCCCCCCACCCCCACCCCAUUGCCCGGCUGCAUUCCUGCGCUGCGGGGAAACUGAGGCACGGCCCGACCCCAUAGCGCUGUGGGGCCGCAGGGCUCCCAACCCCACAGCGCUGCCCCGUAGGGUCUGAACUGCGCCGAACCCCAUUGCGGUGUGGGGUCUGCAGCCCCCCUGACCCCACUAUAGGCCAAACCCCAUCGCAGUGCGGCGUCCCCAACACUGC
rnacentral:lncRNA from 1 species